ACAAAGUUACACAAAACAUCCAAUUGUGGCGCACGCAUGUUUCUUCCUUUUGUGAAUAUCCAGAUGAUUUUCGGGAUUGAGUUGGAAAAUUCGUUUAAAGGCAUAUCGAGACGUUUUUCAGGAUAUACUCGGCAUAUAAGACGACCCCCGAUUUUCUGUUGACUUUUUUUCGUUUCAAAAGUUGUCUUAUAUGACGGAAAAUACGGUAGCUUUCCUGGUUGAACUGGGAAUAUGGUGUAAAUACAAGGAAAACACCAAACUAAGGGGCUGGACUGGUGUUUGCACGGAACAUGCAUGACCUGCACCUCCCUGUGCUCUCCCCCUGCAGUCACCAUCCUGGCAAGCGGUCACCACGUCUACCCUUCCCCGCACUGUGCUCCUAGGCCCCUGAGCUUCUGCAGUGAUCGGGUUUUUAGGAUCUUUCUAAAUGUUUCUGCCUCAUUUUAUACAUACCCACUUGUGUUCAAAAACUCCAGCAAGAUGCUGUGAGUUCUCCAGGCGUAGAGACCCUCCCGCCUGCCAUAGUAACACGUUAUCUCAGAGUCCACCUACAGGAAAGGUUCCAAGUAGCCUCAUUAACUGAUGGAAUUUAUAAAAUACAGAUAAACUCCAGCUGAAGGAUUUUCUAAUCAGUGUUGUAAUCACCACCAGUUAAUUUUGAGGGCUGAAGACAAAUCUGAUCGUUAUCAUAGCCUAAAUUUACAGGGAUCCUCAAACUUUUUAAAUUGGGGGCCAGAUAACGGUCCCUCAGAGAGUUGGAGGGCCGGACUAUAUGAACUACUAAUUCCUACUGUAACACCUCGGCUGCGCUCACUGCCCAAAAAACCUGGCGGGCCGGAUCAGACU